AGGGUGUAAACGCUGCGGGCUUGGUGUUGGGGGUCCUUAGUGGGCGCCCAGUGCCGGGGAGAAGUUGUUAAGCCUGCUGCUUGGGGAGUAUGUCCGCAAGGAUGAAACUUAAAGGAAUUGGCGGGGGAGCACCGCAACGGGAGGAGCGUGCGGUUCAAUUGGAUUCAACGCCGAAAAACUCACCAGGAGCGACGGAUAUAUGAAGGUCAAGCUGAUGACUUUACCUGAUUUUUCCGAGAGGUGGUGCAUGGCGUAGUCGUGU
rnacentral:rRNA from 1 species